UGAUGCGGCUUUCAAAUCGACGAUCGGCUCCGUUAGACAUGAUCUACACUAUUGAACGUAUUUGGAAACUAAAUUUCAGAAUUUUUCGACAUCAUUUGGCUAGUGAUCAAAAGGUCUCAAAAUUGACAAUUUUAAUGGUAGAUGUGAUGCAUUUGUAAAUUUAACGGUGUAAAACAAUCCAAAUCAGAUGAAAUUUUUAUAGAAAAUUUUUUUUACUAUUUAGAGUAAGAUCAGUAUCUCUGAUCUUAAAUUCAAGUCUUCUAUCAUCAUUUUUUAUGAGAUUUUUAUUUUCAGCCGUUUAUUUUUAGACUACUCGUUUGAUAGGUAAAUGAUGCCAAAAAAUUAUAAAAUUUAGUUUCCAAAUACUUUCAAUAGUGUAGAUCAAGUCUAACGGAACCGAUCGUCGAUUUGAAAGUGGUAUCAUUGAAAACAACUUGGUAGCACGGAGGUGUCCGUGCUACCGAUAGUAUAGCAGUCUAACUAAAUUUCAGAAUUUUUCGACAUCAUUUGGCUAGUGAUCAAAAGGUCUCAAAAUUGACAAUUUUAAUGGUAGAUGUGAUGCAUUUGUAAAUUUAACGGUGUAAAACAAUCCAAAUCAGAUGAAAUUUUUAUAGAAAAUUCUUUUCACCAUUUAUAGUAAAAUCAGUAUCUCUGAUCUUAAAUUCAAGUCUUCUAUCAUCAUUUUUUAUGAGAUUUUUAUUUUCAGCCGUUUAUUUUUAGACUACUCGUUUGAUAGGUAAAUGAUGCCAAAAAAUUAUAAAAUUUAGUUUCCAAAUACUUUCAAUAGUGUAGAUCAAGUCUAACGGAACCGAUCGUCGAUUUGAAAGUGGCAUCAUUGAAAACAACUUGGUAGCACGGA
rnacentral:lncRNA from 1 species